rnacentral:rRNA from 1 species
UACGGAGGGUGCAAGCGUUGUCCGGAAUCACUGGGCGUAAAGGGCGCGUAGGCGGCUUGAUAAGUAGGGGGUGAAAUCCUGCGGCUUAACCGCAGGGCUGCCUUCUAAACUGUCAGGCUCGAGCACAGUAGAGGCAGGUGGAAUUCCCGGUGUAGCGGUGGAAUGCGUAGAGAUCGGGAAGAACAUCGGUGGCGAAGGCGGCCUGCUGGGCUGUUGCUGACGCUGAGGCGCGACAGCGUGGGGAGCAAACAGG